GCCAGGCACGUAAACGCUUGUAGCUGUGUGCGGUGUUGGCCUGGACGUUGGUGUCGUUGUAUGCAUGUCUUUUUUGUGGCAUCACACGUCAACUUCAAUAAACGACGUGUGCAAGUGAAGCUGAUGACGAGGUCGGAACGCUCCGAAGUGCAGUCCUGUAAGAGAGCUGUGCUGUCUACUCACUGCUGUGUUUUGCUGGACCGAAUACAUUGCCUGCAUUUUUGUGCACUAUCUCAGAUAAGAAAAGCUGUGUCGUCUAGCCUCUGGUGAUAUUUUGCCUACAUGUUUUGUAUUUUAUGAAAGCUGUGGUGUCUAGACACUGGUUUUUGGCUGUGUCACACUCUGUCAUGUGCCUACAUCAUUUGUGACUCUUAUUAUACCCAAGAGAACCUGUGAUGUCUAGCCAGUCUGGCUAUUUUUUGUUGUCAAUGACACUUUAUACAGUGCCUCUAUAUUUUGUGUACAUUUUAUCAUAGAUAAAAGAUGCUGUGGUGCCUAGUCACUCUGG